rnacentral:rRNA from 1 species
UGUCUUCUAUCAACUCGUAGUUGGCGAACGGUGGAGUAACGGACGUAUCAACCUCGACCUUCAGAGGGGACGAACAGUUGAAACGACUGCUAAUACGCAUACGAUCUAAUCUCGGCAUCGAGGAGUAGAUGAAAGGUGGCCUCUACGAUGUAAGCUAUCACUGAAGGAGGGGAUUGCGGUCUGAUUUAGCUAGUUGGAGGGGUAACGGCCCACCAAGGCGAUGAUCAGUAGCCGGUCUGAGAGGAUGAACGGCCACAUUGGGACUGAGACACGGCCCAGACUCCUACGGGAGGCAGCAGUGGGGAAUCUUCCGCAAUGGACGAAAGUCUGACGGAGCAACGCCGCGUGAGUGAUGACGGCCUUCGGGUUGUAAAGCUCUGUUAAUCGGGACGAAAGGCCUUCUUGCGAAUAGUGAGAAGGAUUGACGGCACCGGAAUAGAAAGCCACGGCUAACUACGUG